rnacentral:misc_RNA from 1 species
GAAAUGCGAUAAGUAAUGUGAAUUGCAGAAUUCAGUGAAUCAUCGAAUCUUUGAACGCACAUUGCGCCCGCUAGUAUUCUGGCGGGCAUGCCUGUUCGAGCGUCAUUUCAACCAUCAAGCCCUAGGCUUGUGUUGGGGGCCUGCAGCCGCUGCAGCCCACUAAAAGCAGUGGCGGGCUCGCUGUCAUUCCGAGCGCAGUAGUUACAUCUCGCUCUGGGCGUGGCCGCGGGCACUUGCCGUAAAACACUCUUUCUAAGGUUGACCUCGGAUCAGGUAGGAAUACCCGCUGAACUUAAGC